GACUCUGCACCGAGUAAAAUCUCACAGGUGUCGGUCGACACGUUGUAUCUUCGACAUACUCGUACAGUACAGUAUCCGGGAGUUAACGUCUGAGAAAAAGAAGCCGACGGAGGACCGGCGACAUCCCGGAUACUAAGUGAGCAAUGAGCCGUCCGAUCAAACAGGUCUACCCUACCCUCUCUCUCUCAUGAGUCGCUCCUUCCUCUAGCAAUGUAGCAUUUGAAAAGGUUUCGCUUUCCAGAGCCGUGAACUUACGCAACUCCUCGAGGCCGCCGUCAGGGCAGGGCAGCAUUUCCAAAAUAAAAGAGGGGGGCGGAUACCUGGUAUUGGAAAUGAGCCCACUGGUAUUGUAAAGUGGAUCGAACCGAGCACUUGGUACUGAUCUUGAGCUGUCUGGUACUGUGACUAAUAGUAGGUGGGUCUCUGGUACAAUUUCAGGCGAAUGGUGUUAGACUUCAGGCAGAACCGCCCCCUUAGUCCCGUCCCUGGGCGUUCCUAAACUGUCUUUAAAACGGCAGCCAGCGUGAUACCCGGCUACAUGGCAGCAGGCGCAGGUAGAGAGCAGUGGCACAGAGGCGCAGAUAUUGAUACAUCAGCUCACAUCUUGUGGAAAAUGAUUCUGCAUUGGGGACACAGUUUGCAAGCCUGACACAAUACUGGGGUGCAGAUUGAAGAUUAGUAUUGCAGGUGAGCUGAUUGUACUUGAGGAUGCUUCUACCUGCCCACCUCAGACAGAUAUCUUGACCACCAGGAGCUCUUCAUUUCUUCCAGAUCAUGUCCGAGUCUUAUGGUGCAGCUGGCAUAGUCCUCUACAUAAAGGCCAUGAAUUGAACAAGACAUUUGUGCGAGUGCCCAUGAUGUGAGAUUUGACCUGUCAAGAUCUGUGGACAUCUUUCUGUCUUCAUAUUGUUAAUUUGCUUGAAACCAUGAAGAUUGGCAUUUGGUCAUUGAACGAGUAGGAUAACAUGACAAACAGCAUUUGAUUUUUGAAUGAGUAGGAACUUGUCUGUGUGGUCACUGCUGUGAACAUUGAAUAUGUCUGGAAACAUCUGGACAAUGCAGAGUAUGGACUAGGAAUAUGAAAGGCCAGUGAUGAAAUGGCAUGUUUCAUGUUGGGAUUUGCGGACAAAGGCACACAGUCACCCUCCAUCUGAACAGCAUUCUAAUGCUACACAAUGUGAGUGGUGUGCCAGGAAGCCACAGGACUGAAGUAGCUGAGUAAACUACAGUGGAGGGAAAAGGGUGGUGGAGAGGUGAAGGUUCACAGGGCAAAGGUGACACGACCAGGUAAUGAGAGCAGCAGGGAGCAGAUGGCUCUUCAUUGUGGAUCUGGAUGUGGAGAAGAGACAUGUGGAGGG